ACAAGUGGCAUAGCAGAUUCCUGGCAGC
rnacentral:piRNA from 1 species